rnacentral:rRNA from 1 species
UACGUAGGGGGCAAGCGUUGUCCGGAAUCAUUGGGCGUAAAGAGCGCGUAGGCGGCCCUGUAAGUCCGCUGUGAAAGUCGGGGGCUCAACCCUCGAAUGCCGGUGGAUACUGUCGAGCUAGAGUGCGGAAGAGGCGAGUGGAAUUCCUGGUGUAGCGGUGAAAUGCGCAGAUAUCAGGAGGAACACCGAUUGCGAAGGCAGCUCGCUGGGACGUUACUGACGCUGAGACGCGAAAGCGUGGGGAGCAAACAGG